GACGAACGCUGGCGGCGUGCCUAAUACAUGCAAGUCGAAAGCUUUUUCUUUCACCGGAGCUUGCUCCACCGAAAGAAAAAGAGUGGCGAACGGGUGAGUAACACGUGGGUAACCUGCCCAUCAGAAGGGGAUAACACUUGGAAACAGGUGCUAAUACCGUAUAACACUAUCUUCCGCAUGGAAGAAAGUUGAAAGGCGCUUUUGCGUCACUGAUGGAUGGACCCGCGGUGCAUUAGCUAGUUGGUGAGGUAACGGCUCACAAAGGCAAAGAUGCAUAGCCGACCUGAGAGGGUGAUCGGCCACACUGGGACUGAGACACGGCCCAGACUCCUACGGGAGGCAGCAGUAGGGAAUCUUCGGCAAUGGACGAAAGUCUGACCGAGCAACGCCGCGUGAGUGAAGAAGGUUUUCGGAUCGUAAAGCUCUGUUGUUAGAGAAGAACAAGGAUGAGAGUAAAAUGUUCAUCCCUUGACGGUAUCUAACCAGAAAGCCACGGCUAACUACGUGCCAGCCGCCGCCGUAA
rnacentral:rRNA from 1 species